UGUGGCAGAGCGAGGCCACGGCCGCGCGGCCACCUGACCGACGAGGACGCCGGCGGAGAGCAGCUGUGGGGGCUAUUGCUCCCUGGGCAGUAGACGCCACACACACACCCACAGAGAAACACGCACGAAUACACUCUCAGACACACACACAGACACACGCACACACACACACACAGACACACGCACACACACACACACGCGCACACACACACACACACACACACACACACACACACACACACACACAAACACACACACACACACACACACUCGUGCACACACACAAAUACACACACACAAUACACUCAGACCCACACAAACAGUCAUGCACACUCACACACAUGGACCGCACAUGUACAAAGAUUCUGGCGCUAGACGGGUGCACAGACACGGACGCUGACAAACACUUGAUGAAAACAGAAAAAGGAAAGGAAAUCCCUGCAGCCCCAUUGUGUCUGUGUGCGUGAGUGAGUGUGUGCGUGUUGUCCUAAGCAGAAGUCCAUCCAUAAACAUUAAAGACUCAGACUGUGGCACUUUUCCCUGUGACUCCCAAGAUGGGUCCUGCCUCUUAACAUUCACCAGCCUUGCUCAUUUACAGUGUUCUCGUUUUUUUGGGGGGGCCGGGGUGUUUUGUUCAAUCCCCUCACACUGCCUGAUGUCAGGCAGUGCUACAAACUCCUCUGAAAAUCUCUCGCACCCCUUCCUGGCAUGUGCCCCGAUUAAUUAGGAAGCUUUUGCUUGGUCAUUUGUUUAGCAUUUAUCUGUCGAAGGACAGACUUCCGUGUUUUUUUUGUGUGUUCAUUUAUUUUUAUUUUUGAAAUGCUAAAAAGGGAAUCCAUUUAUUGUUCAUUCUUGCCAAUCUCACUUGUCAUUUUAACAUAGGUUUGUUAUUUUUGACCAAAGCCUUCCAUAGUGUCUCCAGCAUGCCUUUUAUUGUCCUAUACACACACCCGACCCCAGCUCUGCAUGUUCCCUGGUCUCUGCCCAAUCGCAUGCCUGAUGAUAAUGCAAACCCCCCCCCCCCCCACCCACCCUUCUUCUUUACAGCAUAGUCGGGUCCUUUAAUUUUUUUGGAGGGACAGUUUACAAUAAAACAUAACGAUUCCAAAGCUUCAUAACCCGCUCUUGGAAAGGCUGCUCGUGAAUGGAGGACUGGCACGGAUUAGCUCUCCCAGUCAUGUCAGGGGAAUAAGAGAAGCUCAAUAAAUGGCACACUUUUUUACUAAAAAAGAUGUUGCUUUCCCCCCCCCGCUCUAGCAGAUAGCGUUGGUAAAAUAUUGGUUAUUCCGACCAAUGGCCUUUUUCAUAUUGGGGCCUUUUAUUCGCGACUGGACUUAGACAAAAGGAAAAAGUGUCCAAUAUUAAACAGGAUAGUGAGUCAUAGGGGUGUUUCCAUUGGAAUAGGAAAAAAAAAAAUCAAACGAAACCCGCUAAUGGGUUUACCAGUGCGGCUGUCGUCGUGCUGGUCUUGGGGAGGCAGAUACAAAUGUACCAUGGCCCUGACCCAUGACUGUGUUUGUAGUGACUGUGUUUGAGUGAUUGUCGCACGUCUGCGGAUUCCACGAAAUGUAGGACUGCGAGGCCGUCUCCUCAGGACAGGGAUGUGGACGAGGGCACAGAUGCCUUUGUGUCUAGUGAAAAUGUAGACGUUUUAUCGGCUUUUAAAACUGCAUGGAAAAUACUUUUCCUUUUUGUUUUGCUGUAUAUGUUUGCUGUAUAUGUCAUUACGGUGGCUCAUAAAUUUUUAACAAUAGGGUAAGUUAUACGUUAACAUUAAAAACAAACCUGUUUAGAUUCUUAUGUUGACUCUUGUUCAAAGUAGAACUACAUUUAACUUUCAUCAGUAUAGACUUCUCUUUAUCUUGUUUAUAAUCCAUAUGUAAAAACAAUAUGCAGACUUUGUAAAACCAUUUGAUUUGAGGAAUCUUUCUGAAAUCUGUCCUGUAUAAUUUGUAAAGCUGUGCUUAUAAAUAUUACACCAUUAAAAUCGGCCAAUGUAUUAAACUCAAUAAAGUGCUUUUUCAAAACGAUUCCUCUUCUGUUCAUUCAUAUUCCCGCCGUAUUUGUGGCGCCCACAAUGGCCGGUUCGAUCCCUGCAAGCCAACACUUCUAGUGGUUGUUUCUAAAACCUCUUGUCCGAGCGGUUACCGAAGAUGGCCCACAACUCUGCUGCCAUGGUUACGUGUUGGAAAUGUUGCUGCUAGGUGAGGGCUUCAUCACCCCGGCUCCCCUCGCAUUUCUCGCUCCUUCAGAAGAGACGCGUGUUUAAACAGUGUCCGAGGAAUCCUC
ensembl:lncRNA